rnacentral:rRNA from 1 species
GUUCGGAUUAUUGGGCGUAAGAGCUCGUAGGCGGUUUGUCGCGUCUGUCGUGAAAGUCCGGGGCUUAACCCCGGAUCUGCGGUGGGUACGGGCAGACUAGAGUGCAGUAGGGGAGACUGGAAUUCCUGGUGUAGCGGUGGAAUGCGCAGAUAUCAGGAGGAACACCGAUGGCGAAGGCAGGUCUCUGGGCUGUAACUGACGCUGAGGAGCGAAAGCAUGGGGAGCGAACAGGAUUAGAUACCCUGGUAGUCCAUGCCGUAAACGUUGGGCACUAGGUGUGGGGACCAUUCCACGGUUUCCGCGCCGCAGCUAACGCAUUAAGUGCCCCGCCUGGGGAGUACGGCCGCAAGGCUAAAACUCAAAGGAAUUGACGGGGGCCCGCACAAGCGGCGGAGCAUGCGGAUUAAUUCGAUGCAACGCGAAGAACCUUACCAAGGCUUGACAUGUUUUCGAUCGCCGUGGAGACACGGUUUCCCCUUUGGGGCGGAUUCACAGGUGGUGCAUGGUUGUCGUCAGCUCGUGUCGUGAGAUGUUGGGUUAAGUCCCGCAACGAGCGCAACCCUCGUUCCAUGUUGCCAGCACGUUGUGGUGGGGACUCAUGGGAGACUGCCGGGGUCAACUCGGAGGAAGGUGAGGACGACGUCAAAUCAUCAUGCCCCUUAUGUCUUGGGCUUCACGCAUGCUACAAUGGCCGGUACAAUGGGUUGCGAUACUGUGAGGUGGAGCUAAUCCCAGAAAGCCGGUCUCAGUUCGGAUUGGGGUCUGCAACUCGACCCCAUGAAGUCGGAGUCGCUAGUAAUCGCAGAUCAGCAACGCUGCGGUGAAUACGUUCCCGGGCCUUGUACACACCGCCCGUCAAGUCACGAAAGUCGGUAACACCCGAAGCCGGUGGCCUAACCCUUGUGGGGGGGAGCCGUCGAAGUGGGACAGCGAUGGAUAU